ensembl:lncRNA
CUGAAACAGCAUUUGCCUUCUUUCAUCAGAUUGCAGAUUGUGUGCAUGCUACCUGUACAGUUAGUAAUGUGAAAUGGUCAGACAGAUCUUUUUUCUGAGCUACGAUGUGGACCAAAGAAGAAAAGACAAGAAUAGAGAAAUGAAAAUACCAGGCUAGACAAAUUCAAAGGGACUUUUGUACAAAUAGCUUUAUUGAUUGCCAAAAAGCAAAUGAACUGGAGAGCAGAAUUCCCUCCACCAAAUGACAAAUGUGUUAUAAAUCACAAAGACAUUCUUCAACUUGAAAGACUGCAUUGUACCUCCUGGAAAACAUAAGAGAACAUUUUCUGGACUAUUUUUUCCAGUAGCAUGCUAUUUAGCAACAAGAAGAUUCUCAUCCAUAACGCUUUUAAAACAAACUUAAAAAUUCCUUUAUUAUGAUUGCAAUGGUAUCUCUUUUCUCCUUAUUUUCCAGUGGUGAGAAUUAGUAUUGUUUCAUAAAGAUUACUGCAUCACUGUC